rnacentral:rRNA from 1 species
UACGAAGGGGACUAGCGUUGUUCGGAAUUACUGGGCGUAAAGCGCACGUAGGCGGAUUUGUAAGUCAGGGGUGAAAUCCCGGGGCUCAACUUCGGAACUGCCUUUGAUACUGCAAAUCUCGAGUCCGAUAGAGGUGGGUGGAAUUCCUAGUGUAGAGGUGAAAUUCGUAGAUAUUAGGAAGAACACCGGUGGCGAAGGCGGCCCACUGGAUCGGUACUGACGCUGAGGUGCGAAAGCGUGGGGAGCAAACAGG